rnacentral:misc_RNA from 1 species
GAUGAAGAACGCAGCGAAAUGCGAUAAGUAAUGUGAAUUGCAGAAUUCAGUGAAUCAUCGAAUCUUUGAACGUACAUUGCGCCCGGCAGUACUCUGCCGGGCAUGCCUGUUCGAGCGUCAUUUCAACCCUCAAGCCCUGCUUGGUGUUGGGGUCCCACGGCCGCCGUGGGCCCUGAAAGGAAGUGGCGGGCUCGCUACAACUCCGAGCGUAGUAAUUCUGUUUCUCGCUUAGGUCGUUGGGCGGCGCUCCAGCCGUUAAAGUACCCAUCUUUAACUCAAGGUUGACCUCGGAUCAGGUAGGAAUACCCGCUGAACUUAAGCAUAUCAAUAAGCGGAGGA